GAUGAACGCUGGCGGCGUGCCUAAUACAUGCAAGUCGAGCGAACGGACGAGAAGCUUGCUUCUCUGAUGUUAGCGGCGGACGGGUGAGUAACACGUGGAUAACCUACCUAUAAGACUGGGAUAACUUCGGGAAACCGUAGCUAAUACCGGAUAAUAUUUUGAACCGCAUGGUUCAAAAGUGAAAGACGGUCUUGCUGUCACUUAUAGAUGGAUCCGCGCUGCAUUAGCUAGUUGGUAAGGUAACGGCUUACCAAGGCAACGAUGCAUAGCCGACCUGAGAGGGUGAUCGGCCACACUGGGACUGAGACACGGUCCAGACUCCUACGGGAGGCAGCAGUAGGGAAUCUUCCGCAAUGGGCGAAAGCCUGACGGAGCAACGCCGCAUGAGUGAUGAAGGUCUUCGGAUCGUAAAACUCUGUUAUUAGGGAAGAACAUAUGUGUAAGUAACUGUGCACAUCUUGACGGUACCUAAUCAGAAAGCCACGGCUAACUACGUG
rnacentral:rRNA from 1 species